GACCGAGAUGGACGCUGCUGGAUUCGUCGGCUGCGGCUACCCGGCAGCGUUUCGAGUUGCGACGCUUUGUUUGUCCACCGUUGUCUCGUGACCUCAUGGCCUUUUCUCUACUCUCCUAACUUUUGACUUAGUCCUCGUCUGCUGUCGCCUGUCAUUAUUCAAAAUUGAACGUUUUGCUGUUAAGCGCCGUUUCACCGCCCAAUUGUUUGUUUCGGCUGUUAACUUUAAGAUGUUCCGACAACCAAGUAUUAUUGUCGAACGUUGUAUGAACAUAAUGUAAGCGGUGUCAUUGAAAUGAAAAAUUAUUAAUACAAAAUUCAUAAACAUGGAUCGACUUCCUAGUGUCAUUUUAACGGUUAAUCUAAUCAUUGGAAAUAAUUAUCUUCAUACAUAAAAGAAAAAUGUUCAAUAAAUUACUAAGUUAAAAGAAGCAAUGGAUCU